UACAGAGACCUCGAGCGUUAUCCGGAUUGAUUGGGUGUAAAGCGUGCGCAGGCGGUAAAUUAAGUCUGUAGUUAAAUCUGGCAGCUCAACUGCAAGACUGCUACGGAAACUAGUUUACUAGAGCAUGGAAGAGGUUAGCGGAAUUGCCGGUGUAACGGUAAAAUGUGUUAAUAUCGGCAAGAACACCAGAGGCGAAGGCGGCUAACUGGGACAUUGCUGACGCUGUUGCACGAAAGCGUGGGGAGCGAAUGGG
rnacentral:rRNA from 1 species